AUUCAGCUGACGAUUCCCGAAUGGGACGAAAUGUACAUCCUGGAU
rnacentral:hammerhead_ribozyme from 1 species